GCCCAUGUAGCUCAACUGGUAGAGCGACGCACUCGUAACGCGUAGGUUGCCGGUUCAAGACCGACCAUGGGCU
rnacentral:tRNA from 1 species